GCAGGAGAACAAAAGAAUUGAUAAUGGCAGCAAGACGCAACGCCAGGGAAACCACCAAAAACCGGGGCAGAAAAUUUUCUGCCGAUUGUCGAAAAUUUUCUCGGAAGAACGGGGAAGCAAUUUCAAUACAUUUAAGUUCUAGGUCGCCCACCAGUAUAAUGCGGGAAUACAUUUAAGUUCUAGGUUGCCCACCAGUAAAAUACGAGAAUACUUUUAAGUUCUAGGUCGCCCACCAGUAAAAUGCGGGAAUACUUUUAAGUUCUAGGUCGCCCACCAAUAAAAUGCGGGAAUACUUUUAAGUUCUAGGUCACCCACCAGUAUAAUGCGGGAAUACAUUUAAGUUCUAGGUCG
rnacentral:lncRNA from 1 species